rnacentral:rRNA from 1 species
ACACAAUCCAGCAGCAAGUUCCCUUACCGCUACCUUGUUACGACUUCGCUCAAAUUACUAAACAAAUUUUCACAGUUUAAAAUUGAAAAAGAAAUGAAAUUAUCAAGAUCUUAAAAGAUUCACUAUAAUCGCAUUUCUUUUUAAUCGUCAAAAGCUUGGAAUUCAUUCAAUUUUUCGAGCGUGACGGGCUGGGAGUACAAAGCCUAGGUACAAUUUCACCGUAGCGUGGUGAUCUACGAUUACUAGUAAUUCCAACUUCAUGCUCUCGAGUUUCAGAGAACAAUCCGAAUAAAGACAAUUUUUAUGGAUUCGCUCCAAUUCGCAUUAUUGCAUCCUUUUGUAAUUGCCAUUGUAACACACGUGAAGCCCAGUCCAUUAGGGUCAUGACGAUUUGACUUCAUCCUCUGCUUACUUUAGCUUAUCACUAACAGAAAAGUUUGAGUGCAUUAUAAUGUUUUUUUUGGAAAACAAAAUAUUGUUGAUAUUUUGAAUCAAUAAACAGAUUAUAAUUUGCAACAAACUAAGAGGGUUUCGCUCGUUAAGGGAAUUAACCAAACGUUUUACAACACGAGCUGACGACAACCAUGCAACGCCUGUUCGUUGUAUAUUUAUUUGAUUAAAAAUAAACUCUAACAAAUGCAAGGACUGGUAAGAUUUUACGCGUUGAAUCGGAUUAAUCCGCAUGUUCCACUACUCGUAUAGGCUCCCGCCUAUUCCUUUGAAUUUUAAUCUUGCGAUCGUAGUUUUCAGGCAGAAGAUUUAAUGCGUUAGCUUUAUCACUAAAUAUUUCAAAUACCACGUUUUUUUGUUUCGUUUUUAUCUUUAAUCGAAGAUAUCAUUUACAUUUCUCGACCUGAUUCUGGGAAAACGGUUAAUAAAUGCAACACAAAUACCGCGUUUUUACAACGGUUGAACAAUAUAUUUGAAAAAUCUAACAAUUAAUCUUCAUCGUUGACUGCGUAGACUACUGAGGUAUCUAAUCUCUUUUGCUCCCUACGCUGUCGCAUCUCAACGUCAGUAUACUUUUAGAGAAUUGCUUUCGCUUUUGGAAUUCCUUCAAUUUUCAUAGAAUUUUACCUCUCCUGUUGAAAUUCUAUUCUCUUCUAAGAAACUCUAGCUUACUCUUUUAACAAUCUUUUAUCUUAAAGAUUUCAACCUCUUUCCUAAUAUAACUUAGGGAUUUUUGUAUUGAAGAUGAUAAGCAGCCUACAUGCGUUUUACGCCCAAUUAUGAUGAAUAACGCUUAUACCUCCUGUAUUACCGCUAGUGCUGGCACAGAAUUGCUAGGUAUUAUUCUUGAAAAGUAUGUCAUUAUCUUCUUUUCAAUUAGAGGUUUACGACCAAUCAGCCUUCAACAAUGAACAUAUUUUGUUCAUUAAUCCCUCAAUCAAGUUAGCUGGAUCAAACUUUCGUUUAUUGUCCAAGAUUAUCCACUGCUGCCAUUAAAAAUGUCUAGUCCUUGUUUCAGUUCUAGUGCGACAGAUCAUUCUUUCAAAUCUGCUAAAGAUCGUUGGCUUGGUAAGCUUUAAUCUUACCAACUACCUAAUCUUGUCGGAGACCAUCAUUUGAUGCGGUUUUAACCUUUUUUAUAUCAGGAAUUCAUCAAUAAUAAUAUAUGCCUGGCAUCAAGGUAGGCUUCUCCAACUUUACUCGCCUGUUCACGACCUAUUAAUUGUAAAUUAAUAUGUUUCAUUAACAUGUGUUAUACUACUUGACAGCGUUCAUUCGGAGCCAGGAUCAAACUCU